UACGGAGGGUCCGAGCGUUAUCCGGAAUCAUUGGGUUUAAAGGGUCCGUAGGCGGGCGUCUAAGUCAGUGGUGAAAUUCUGCAGCUCAACUGUAGAACUGCCAUUGAUACUGGUCGUCUUGAAUCGUUGUGAAGUGGCUAGAAUAUGUAGUGUAGCGGUGAAAUGCUUAGAUAUUACAUAGAAUACCGAUUGCGAAGGCAGCUUACUAUGGUUUUAUUGACGCUGAGGCACGAAAGCGUGGGGAUCAAACAGG
rnacentral:rRNA from 1 species